GCGUGAAGCCGGAAUUGCUAGUAAUCGCGGAUCAGCAUGCCGCGGUGAAUACGUUCCCGGGCCUUGUACACACCGCCCGUCACACCAUGAGAGUUGGGAAUACCCGAAGCCUGUGAGCUAACGUUAAGAGGCAGCAGUCGAAGGUAGAAUCAAUGAUUGGGGUGAAGUCGUAACAAGGUAAC
rnacentral:rRNA from 1 species